GGAGAAGGCAGAGGCUUCUUGUUCAUGCCACAGUCUGGGUUGCCUCACUUUCCUGUGUGGCUUCCAGUUUUGACAUUAUCUAAAUAACUAAUUCCUCAUCUAGCAUUUAUUUAUUUUAAGAGAAAUCUCUGUGCUUUUUUGUUUAAUUUUAGAAAUUGGUUGUUUACUGAUACACUUUGGGGGAAAAUCUGGAAAUGAUUUUGAACCAGUAUGUGUGUUGAGGAGGUGUUGGCUACCUGCCUGGCAAAAGAUAAUUGGAAGUGGCAGUGAGUUAUUAUUGAAGUGGCCAUGCCAUUCUGGUGAGGAGUUCUUUUCUGUCACCACCAUGAAAAUAUCAUUCUACUGGCUUUUUGCUAAGAAGUCUGCUGUUAAUCUCAGAGACUUUUUCAAAAAUGCAUUUUUUCCAUGACUUGCUUUUGAGAUCUUUGUUUUUCUUCAGUGGUCUACAGCUUUACUACAAUAUUUGAAGGUCUGACCUUAAGAAAAUAGGACCUUCCAUUUUCUAGCUCCUGGAACACUUCCACUUAGCACCCAGCCAUCAGACUGUGUAUGAGGAGAGGAACUGAGACCUGCAGACCAAUAACCUAAGCUGAACUCGCAGCUGAAAGCUAACCCACCUCUAAUGGACUCUCCACUCAAAAUCCAGAUUAGUGAACCAAAUAUAUGACUGUUGUUUUUAAGCCACUAUGUUUUAGCAUGGUAUGUUACACACCAAUAGAUAACUAAAACUGUUCUCUCACCAUCUCAACAUCCUCUUCAUAUUUUCUAAAUAAUAAAAUAUGCCAUUUGAUUUUACAAGAAACAAAUGUUAGAUGGCAGGGCUGAAGUUAAAUGGGAACCUAAUGUUCACAACGACUAACAGAUUUGUAAAUUGAGCUUAUAUGUCUACAUCAAAGUUCUCAAUCUUUAUUUAUGCUAUAGUUUAAAGCAUGACUAUACUUUUCAGCUGACUCUCUUGAAAAGUGGAGUAUAAUUAAUAUAUUGAUACCUGGAUAUAUUAUAUUUUAGUUCAUGAUUCCAUUUAGUCCUGAAAAAUAGAAGGCAUUGUCAUUUUGUAGACAUCUCCUUGAUAUAUUUGUGUUAGAGUUAACUCAAUUUUUUAAAUGUAAGAUUUAACUCUAUGACACUAAUCACCUGUCAUCAGUCACUGACUAUAGUUCAAUAUCAUUUGAGUCACCAAGGCUAAGAUAUACCAGAUAACUGUUUCAGUACAGGUGAUUUGCAUUUAUCAUCUAAGAGCUUAUAAGAACCUCCUCUCACUAAAAUAUCAGAGGUCUAACUUUUACCCCCUUCCUCACAUCAAAAGCAUAAAACGCUGAGAUAUAUAAAGAGGAGAUUUCAGGGAGUUUGAGAACUUACUCAAAUGAUGUAACUCAUUUGACAAAUGACUUGCUUCAUGCAUCUUUUAGAUAGCUAAGUCCAAUUAGCUAAAAUUAUAGUUGAAUUGAAUAUGUAAAUAUCUAUAAAGUUGGCCUAAUUAGAUCCAUAGGGUGGUGUAGCAUCUGUGUUUAAAGCCCAGCAAUUGUGAAGAGGUUUUGGUUGCAAGCUUAGGGGAGGCUGUGAAGACUGGCAAGUCUAAGUCCUCCCGUGGAAUCUGAGAUUUCACAGGUAGUAUCUGAGGAUGGGUGUGAGAUUACUGCUCAAGCCAGAAAGAUUAACAGCUGCCUCAAUGGGAAUAAGAGUCACUAGGAAAUUUGAUUCUAUCAUUCCUGAAUCCAAGGUGGCGUUAACAAGCUUAUUAUGUAAGAAAGCAGCCUCUGUUACUAAUCUAAGCUGUAUCUGUUUUUCUGCUUACGCCUAUGAACCAGAACAUAAGAAGUAGUAGAACAAAUGAUAUGAAUCUACAAAUUAUGCCACGUAUUUUAAUUCUUCACUAUUUAAAUAAUUAAAAACUAAGUUUUCUUCUAAAUGUGUCACAUAGUAUAGAUUUUCUAGGGUGCACUUAAGAAAUUUGGUGUACUCAAGAUGAUCAACCUGUCUCAAAAUAAACUUAGAUUUUUUGAAGACUCUUCUGUUAAAUUGGACUUUGACCAUCACUGACACUUAUUUUGACCUUAUAAUACCAUAAAUAUGUACCCUUGAUCAAGACUCCAGCUGAUAGACCCUUAGCAUAGAUACAUAAAAAUAAUAAACCUUAUCUGAACAUCUGUUUUAAGUCAGCUUUUGCUGUGGAAGCUGUUACAAUUACAAAUUAUUUCCAUUUGAUUUCACUGAAAUUCAAUUAACUUCGAGCAAAAAUUAGCAACACUAAUUUUUAAAUAAGGAUGGGGUGAAGGUGAUAGUUAUUGUGGAGCAUUGAUAUGAUAGAAGCAGUGAGGGUAGAAAAUGUGUGAACGUUAAAUGCCUUUAUUACUCAUUUUACAUUUCAUCAGGUAUCAGAUGGCAUGAAAAUACGCUGUCUUGGUCUAUUUUCUUGCUACCACCCCUAAGAUAUCACAUACUUGGCUGUUUCUUAUUCUAAAACCACAGUCCCUUGGGGGCUAGCUAUUAUUUUAAUGAUCAGAGUGAUGAUGAGUCUCUGAAUACCUUAAGGUUUGUAUACUAAGGAUUAUCUCAAUUUAGCUAACAUAAGCUCUAUGAAUGUGUUGCAUAUAAAAUCAUUUUAUCUAAGGCCACAUAUUCUCAAAAGACAUAUUAUGUUGUAUUUUACACCUGAUGCAUUUACAGUUACCACUAACAAGCAAGAAAAAAAUCUCCUCUACAGAGUUUGAAGUAUAUAUUUUUAAAUUAUUGUUGCUUCUAAAAAUACAAAAAUAGAUUUGGAGGUUGAUAUUUUUGGCAGGGGCUCUGAAUAUUUUCAUGUGGAAGUCAGCAACCUAAUAAGCCUGACUUACUGAGUGGAUCAGUGGGUUGUAAUUCUGGUAACUUAUUUUUUAACUAGCUUGAGGCUAGGUCUAUCUCAAUUAUGCUUCAGGUUGUAUAAUAGAUUAUAUGGCAUAUUCAAUAAAGUUGAUAUUGUAUUAAACACAGUAGAGACAAUUAAUGAAUAUUUUUUUCUCGUGAGUUGAUAUUUUAAAAAGAGUUAAUUAUGUAGAAUUUUUUGAAAGGCUUUAUUCAAUAGGACUCAAUACCGGUCUGAUCAUCAUCCUACGAUAAUGGGAUAUGGGUCACAGCAGGGAGAAAAUCAAUAGUGCUGAUGGGCUAUUUUAUUUAAAUCUCAAGCAGUUUUCUCUUCAUAAUAAGAAGAUGUUUUCCAAUUAAAUUGUAAAUUUGAACUAAUAUAUUGUUUUAUAUAAGAUACUUUAUAACUUA
rnacentral:lncRNA from 10 species